UUAAGUCCCGCAACGAGCGCAACCCUUAAGCUUAGUUGCCAUCAUUAAGUUGGGCACUCUAAGUUGACUGCCGGUGACAAACCGGAGGAAGGUGGGGAUGACGUCAAAUCAUCAUGCCCCUUAUGAUUUGGGCUACACACGUGCUACAAUGGACAAUACAAAGGGUAGCGAAACCGCGAGGUCAAGCAAAUCCCAUAAAGUUGUUCUCAGUUCGGAUUGUAGUCUGCAACUCGACUAUAUGAAGCUGGAAUCGCUAGUAAUCGUAGAUCAGCAUGCUACGGUGAAUACGUUCCCGGGUCUUGUACACACCGCCCGUCACACCACGAGAGUUUGUAACACCCGAAGCCGGUGGAGUAACCAUUUGGAGCUAGCCGUCGAAGGUGGGACAAAUGAUUGGGGUGAAGUCGUAACAAGGUAGCCGUAUCGGAAGGUGCGGCUGGAUCACCUCCUUUCUAAGGA
rnacentral:rRNA from 1 species